AUGAGAAAGGUUUGGUAUCAUAAAUGCCUUAUUCAUUUUGAGUGGAAAAUGGGUCCUUCAUGCUAUGUGGCAUUGGAUUUGCAACAGGAAACAGCAACUGCUGCCUCGUCCUCCUCCUCCUCCUCUCUUGGAAAGAGCUUGGAGCUUCCUGAUGGACAGGGGAAGGAAUUUGCCAUUGGGAAUGAGUGGUGCUGAUGCCCAGGAGUAUUUUGCUUGUAUAAUGACUAUGCUGAGGUUACAAAGGAGGUGAGUGGCAGGUUCUGUCCUUGUCCUUGCUCUCCUAGCCUCACACAGCUGUUUUUUUCCUGGAAUUUUCUUAGGGAGACAGCUUGGACUAGUGAGCCUUCCUCUCAUUUUCACAGUAGGAAGAAGAAGGGGAUGAAGAGAGAGAUAAUGUGUUGAAACUUCUUUCCACUCAAGGCUGGAAUCUGCAGGUGUCCACGAAACCACUUCAAACAUGUUGUUGUUCCAUGAGGAUCUCUGUGGGAAAAACGUUGUCUCUGGAGGAACCACAGUGUGUCCUGGGAUUUGGGGUCAUAUGCAGAAGGAGAGGACAGCUUUGCCUCCAAGCACAAUGAAGAUGAAGGUGAUUUUUAACAACUUUACUGCUGCCAGUUCCAUCUUAAAGUGAUUUUUUCCUUAUUCAAAUGGUCUCGUAAUGGUAAAAGCUGCAAAAUCUGUCAAAAGAGACUUUUCAAAGUUCUGUCUAGCUACAUAAAAGUGAGAGGGGUUGAUCUUACCUUCACUCCCACUUUAGAACAGCAGGCAGUUCCAAUUCCCAGUAUCCAUGUCUUGUCAAGCCAGUGGAAACCAUAAAUUCCUCAGCCUCUGAAUGAAUUUGACUUUAUUAUUCUGGUUUCAGUUUGUGUGACUUCUCAGGUUGAUAAUAAAUCACCUUACAUGUAGGAAUAGCACUAUUCACUGGCCCUAUCACCUGCCUGAGCAACAUAAGACACAUUUCAAUCUUGACCUCUCGUAGGUGUGAUGGUGUAGAGCACCAACCCUGGAACUCAGAUCUCUGCAACUGAGUUGCAUUUGCAGUCCCCCUGUAGGAUCAAAGCAAAAUUCCAUUCAAUUUGCUAAGAAUUUACUUGUCCUUGUUUGACUAUUAAAGGUGAAGGAUGUUCUUUAGGUUUUCAAUUUUUAAUUUUUGUUUAAUACAAACUUUUUUUUUUUUUACUUCCACCAUUGCUUCUUUCUAGUUUGGUAAUGAGCUUCCAUGAAUUCUCAGAAUUGCUUUAACAAAGAAA
rnacentral:lncRNA from 13 species